UUAUCUGUUACAUAAAGGUGAGUUGUUGUACAGUUGUAGGGAGUAUUAUCUGUUACAUAAAGGUGAGUUGUUGUACAGUUGUAGGGAGUAUUAUCUGUUACAUAAAGGUGAGUUGUUGUAGAGUUGUAGGGAGUAUUAUCUGUUACAUAAAGGUGAGUUGUUGUAGAGUUGUAGGGAGUAUUAUCUGUUACAUAAAGGUGAGUUGUUGUAGAGUUGUAGGGAGUAUUAUCUGUUACAUAAAGCUGAGUUGUUGUAGAGUUGUAGGGAGUAUUAUCUGUUACAUAAAGGUGAGUUGUUGUACAGUUGUAGGGAGUAUUAUCUGUUACAUAAAGCUGAGUUGUUGUAGAGUUGUAGGGAGUAUUAUCUGUUACAUAAAGCUGAGUUGUUGUAGAGUUGUAGGGAGUAUUAUCUGUUACAUAAAGGUGAGUUGUUGUACAGUUGUAGGGAGUAUUAUCUGUUACAUAAAGGUGAGUUGUUGUAGAGUUGUAGGGAGUAUUAUCUGUUACAUAAAGGUGAGUUGUUGUAGAGUUGUAGGGAGUAUUAUCUGU